rnacentral:lncRNA from 1 species
UUUACUUGGAUUUUGCCCAAUUCUGGUGAUAGAAAAGUGUGGUUAAUUUACUUGGAUUCAAUGGGACUGGAUUGGGAUCCAUCUCGGAACUUCUAUUGUUUAUGUCCUAGUUGGAAUUUAGUAGUUGUUGAGUUAGGGUUUUGUUUUUUGUGAAAGGAUGGCAGAUAGUCCCGAUGGCAAUGGAGUCACGAGAGUGGCGGCGAUGGUGGCGGUGGUGCUGGG